rnacentral:lncRNA from 1 species
AAAAUAACUGUCGUUACACAAAAUAACACCAAUGUGCAUCUUAAUCUCAUACUCUUACUAGUGAAUAUCAUAUCACAUGAAUAAAAAUAAAUGCAGGAUAAACGUAAUUGAAAAACUAACCAAACACCCUUUAAAAACUUAAAUACAUCCUGAGUUCUACGUAAAAUCUUCAUAAAUGUACAGCUUUUUAUCAACGGGACUAUAUAAAAAAAAUCAACUGCAGAAACAAUUCAAAUAGUAAACACAUUAAAUAGAUACUAGAAAAAAAUGGG